CCGCGACGUCACAGUGACGCUACAGUGCCUGGAGCUGGGCUCUUCUGUCUUCAGAGUGGUGCCUGGUAACCGCGACUUCCCCUCCAACUUGUGUGUGUUGCUGGCUGGAGAAGGGUAGUUGACAAACUCUGACCCAGCACGGUGUUUCUGUGGGUGAAAACUAGAAAACUAUAUCCGGGCGCCGAGGUGGAAGGAUCCUUUCAGGCCAGGAGUUAAAGAGCAGCCUAGGCAACAUGGCGCGACCCCGUCUCUGUAGUCCCACUUCAGCUUCCCAGAUACUUGAACCCCAAAGUUCAAGGCUGCAAUGACCUAUGAUCCCAUCACAGCACUCCAGCCUGCGAGACUGAGGGCCUGGGGAGCAGCCAGGCUUCAUGAGUUAAAUACAGAUCUGAACCAUACCAAGCUGGGAUUGGGGUACACACUCUCCUCCUCUGAAAACUAGCUAGGGGUUCGAACUUGGUGGGUACACACUCUCCUCCUCUGAAAACUAGCUAGGGGUUCGGACUUGGUGAGAGGGAGAGUGUGACAAAGCCAGACCAGACAAGGACUGAUCACCUGGAAAAACCUGCCAUCAAAGACCUUGACGAGUGCUAGGUGCGGUGGCUCAUGCCUGUAAUCCCAGCACUUUGGGAGGCUGAGACAGGUGGAUCACUUGAGGCCAGGAGUUCGAGUCCAGCCUGGGCAACAUGGCAAAACCGUAUCUCUACUAAAAAUAAAAAAAUUAGCUA
rnacentral:sRNA from 1 species